GGACAACCUGCCCUGCGGUGAGGGAUAACUCCGGGAAACUGGAGAUAAUACCUCAUAGUUUACCAUCGCUGGAAUGCCUGGUAAGCGAAAGGUCCGCCGCCACAGGAUGGGUCUGCGGCCGAUUAGGUUGUUGUUGGGGUAACGGCCCAACAAGCCUGUGAUCGGUACGGGUUGUGGGAGCAAGAGCCCGGAGAUGGAUUCUGAGACACGAAUCCAGGCCCUACGGGGCGCAGCAGGCGCGAAAACUUUACAAUGCAGGCAACUGUGAUAAGGGAACCCCGAGUGCCCGUAUGGACGGGCUGUUCAGGUGCUUAAAAACCACCUGGAGAAAGGGCCGGGCAAGACCGGUGCCAGCCGCCGCGGUAAUACCGGCGGCUCGAGUGGUGGCCACUAUUACUGGGCUUAAAGCGUCCGUAGCUUGGUCGUUAAGCCUCUGGGGAAAUCUUCCGGCUCAACCGGAAGGCGUCUCAGGGGAACUGGCGGCCUAGGGAUCGGGAGAGGUGAGAGGUACUCUGGGGGUAGGAGUGAAAUCCUGUAAUCCUCAGGGGACCACCUGUGGCGAAGGCGUCUCACCAGAACGACUCCGACAGUGAGGGACGAAAGCUGGGGGAGCAAACCGGAUUAGAUACCCGGGUAGUCCCAGCCGUAAACGAUGCGCGUUAGGUGUAUCGGUGACCACGAGUUACCGAGGUGCCGAAGGGAAAUCGUGAAACGCGCCGCCUGGGAAGUACGGUCGCAAGGCUGAAACUUAA
rnacentral:rRNA from 1 species